CAGCCGCGGUAAUUCCAGCUCCAAUAGCGUAUAUUAAAGUUGUUGCAGUUAAAAAGCUCGUAGUUGAACCUUGGGCCUGGCUGGCCGGUCCGCCUCACCGCGUGUACUGGUCCGGCCGGGCCUUUCCUUCUGGGGAGCCGCAUGUCCUUCACUGGGCGUGUCGGGGAACCAGGACUUUUACUUUGAAAAAAUUAGAGUGUUCAAAGCAGGCCUUUGCUCGAAUACAUUAGCAUGGAAUAAUAGAAUAGGACGUCGCGGUUCUAUUUUGUUGGUUUCUAGGACCGCCGUAAUGAUUAAUAGGGAUAGUCGGGGGCAUCCGUAUUCAAUUGUCAGAGGUGAAAUUCUUGGAUUUAUUGAAGACGAACUACUGCGAAAGCAUUUGCCAAGGAUGUUUUCAUUAAUCAGUGAACGAAAGUUAGGGGAUCGAAGACGAUCAGAUACCGUCGUAGUCUUAACCAUAAACUAUGCCGACUAGGGAUCGGUGGAUGUUUCUAUUUUGACUCCAUCGGCACCUUACGAGAAAUCAAAGUUUUUGGGUUCUGGGGGGAGUAUGGUCGCAA
rnacentral:rRNA from 1 species